CGGAGCCCCGGCCCCGCCCAGGCCGCCUGCGCGCGCUCCGCCGCCGCCGGGUGCGCGUGCCACGGGGAAGAUUCGGCCUGGGCCCAAGCGCGCGCCGGCUGCGAGCCGCGGGACCCCGCCGGCCCUCGGCUGAGCUCCCAGGCCGGAGCUGAGGGAAGCGACCGACUUCAUUCCGGCGGGGGGGCGCAUUGUUUCCUUCCGUGCUGGGGGAAGCGGGACUCUCUCCUUCCACGGGCGAAGUAAUCGCCACGAGAAGUACGCUAAGCCCCCGCCCCGGCCUCAGCUGCGACCUGACCGCAGGGAAACUUGAGCGGGAGAAGGUGGGCGAGGCGACAAGCUUGCAGCGAGCUGCUCUUCAGGUCAGGUUCAGGGCUCGUGUCAGCCUGACUUCUCUCACGCCUGGACUAAGAGCCCCCAGGAGAGUGGCUCCGACUGUGCUCAGCGGGGCGAUGCGCAGGGUGUUCUGGCAUCAGGACAGCUUGUUUCCAACUAACACGGCUGCUACUCUGAAACCAUGGAUCACUGCAUCCACUAUCUGCAGAUGUCCCUGGAUUUGCAGGACUCUCUGUAUAAAGCUGGUUGAAAAAUUACGAUGGACCAGCCUUCCGUCAGAAGAUGACAUUUUGUUGAAAUUGAAAUAUUCUCCAGGAAUGUAACGAUCUCAGCGAAUUUUUCAGUGGGAAAGAGUUUUGACUUGCUUUCAAAUGGCCGUACGUUUAGUUUUGUGAAAAUAAAAUUGUUUUGUUUU